CGCUGCCUCAGUCAGCGUUUUACAUGUUGACUUUUUAUUGUUAAAUUUUUUAAUUCUUAAUUUCUGGUUUAAAAUAAAUAAAAAAAAAGAAAACUUUACACUAAAAACGCUGACUCAAAUCCCUGAGAAAAAUCAACGGCAGCAAUUAGCUCGUCAUCAUUUCUGAAUCAUCAGAUUUCUUCAACAGUACCUUCUCUUCUCAAACCCAGAUUUCUUCAACUUCAACAGUAACCUAAUGCAGCAAAUAAAGAUAGAAAAAAAAAAAAAACUAAAGAAGAAGAGUAUGGUGAAAUACCCACUGAAGGAAUUAGCAGACCCAUGUCUCAAAUUCUUAAACAACUCAACAAAAAAGUUACUGAUUCUCUUAUUAGUAAUUGGGUAUUGAAAAACUUUUGUUGCAGGGAGAUUAUAGCAGGAGGAGGAGGUACAAAUUAAAAUUAAAAAAAAAAAAAUUUACACUAUAAACGCUGACUCAAUCAGCGUUUUUAGUGUAAUUUUUUUUUUUUAAAUUUAAAUAAGAAAUUAAGAAUUUUUUUAAAAAAGUCAACAUGUAAAACGCUGACUGAGACAGCGUUUUACACUUUGAUUUUUUUUUUUUUUUUUAAAAUCAGGGGUAAAACGCUGUUCGAGACAGCGCUUUACCCUGGAAGCUUAGUUUGGUAAAUAGUUUUGUCACGCGUCUACUUUCGUAAUUAAUUUCGUAGUUAAGUUUAGUUUAGAGAAUCAUCCAGGGAUGCUUGUACUAUGUAGAAACAGUUAGAAAUUUAGAAUGGUUAUGCAGUUAUGCUAUAUGUAUAUUAUCUACCUAAACUAUUCUUAAAACCCAAGACAAAGAAGUGUUGUCUCGCCACGUUUCGAUCAUCAAUCUUAUAUUACAAUUAUUGACACGGAGCAUUGUUGGGCUAAUAGCUAGUUUAGACAGUAAUAUAAAGCACAAAGUUCAACAACUUAAAUACCAAGCCUUAGCUUGUGUAUGUAUGUGCUAUUUUGCCUUCUUUGGUACUUCUUUGAGAUUCAUAAUCAUUUUUUUUGGAGGCUAUAAAUUAAUAAAUUUACAACUCCACAACUUGUAAAUACAAUAAACCAAAAAUAGUUGUUUAGCAAAUUUAAUACGGAGUACAUAUAAUUAUAAAUAUUAUUUGCAACAGAUUCUCCGUUUUACUACCCGAUUUCAAAAUCCACGGUUAGGUCGGUUACUAAUAGAUUCCAAUUCAAAGUAUCCUGAUUUUUUGCUCACCCAUAAGUAAUAUAUUAGUGGGCAUAACAAGGGUUAUAUUUAUGAUUCGAGGAAUUUGUGUAAUACAAAAGUGAAACGCUAAACCUCAGUCUCGAAUCUCUAACCCCUACAUUUUUUCCUAUUACACAAAUUACUACGUAUUACUUCGUAUUUUUUAUGGAUUAAUUAUUUUCAUUUAAAUAACAGCCCAUUUAAACAUUUUCCCCCAAACCCUUAUCCCCCUUCAAAUUCGUUGCUCAGACAGAAUUCACCUUUGAUUCACCGACCAAGCCACCACCGACGUCCGCCUUCGUCGCUACCCAGACGUGUCUAUCACCAUCGACCGCCGACCUUUGCUUCUUCACAAAUAUCCUUUCCAUUUGCUUUUUAAGGAGGUGGAUGGUGAUCGUUGUCAGCUUUUCCUGACACAAGAUCCUCCGUGAGUAUGUUUCUCCAAUUGACUGUUGGCUUUGCAUGAUGGCGAUAAAUUCGGUGUCAUAACCUGGAGACAGGAAAUGCAGACAUAGAAAUGGGGAGGAUCCUAACAUGCACUGAUGCACUUCCUAUAUGUUGGUUAAUUCCCAAAUCCCAUGGUAGCAAUCUUUGGUUACUUUCAAAACUUUAAUUAAAAAGCAGCAAGUCUUGAGUAUUUGAUAGUUUUUUUAAUUGAUGAAACAGAAUUGUACAUAUUAUAGUGAGCUUGUGUUACUGACUAAUUGUUUGAUUAAAUGUAAUGUAAAAAUUUAUUAUUCGAAAAAAAAAGUCAAUUCCCAGAGAAGUAGUGUAAAUAGAUUGGUUGUAGAUCUACUACUUACUCGGUACAAAAUUUGAAAGUUUCACUUAAAUUGUCUAAGAUGUUUCAAUGGUUAGUUUUAGUAAGCCGCUUACGGUGUUUUGUGGGGAAAAAACUUCCUACUUAUAAUACAAACAUUAUUGAUGUAAUUUUUCAGUCUUAACCUCAAAUAUUUUUUACAAAAACUCAUCCACAAUUUUAUAAAAGGAUAAUAAUCUUACCUCCAUUGAAAGAGUAGCUAGCAUUAGUCAUAACUCAUAUCUAAUGGGCAUGUAAUACCCAAAUUGUUAAAUAACAUACUGAUACUACGGAUUAAAAAAAAACAAAAAAAAUAAAAAAAAAAAUAAAAAAACAAAACCCCGAGAUACCAAAUACAUGUAUAAGCUAAUCUCAUAAUCUGAAGCUUAGCUUGUAUGUGCAUCCUAGACCUAGACCAUGGUCCCAAAAGGGCCAAAAUUUGGAUAGACUUAUCGGUAAUUUAAGGGUGAUAUUAAAAUACAAUUACUUGUAUCAAAUAAUGUUGCAUUUAAAAAAAAAAAGAAAAAAGAAAAAAGAAAAAAACCUACUUGUAUUCUGUAUAUAUUAUGACAUCCUAAAUACCCGCCAAAUAUCAACUGUAUAACUAACACUUUGAAAUGUUUCACAGCUUUUGUUCUUCACUCAAUAAUACCCCCAAAAUCGACCCAAAUCACUGGAAUUCAUUGAUAAAAGAUCAAGCUAAACUUAAAAAUGAUCGAGCAAUCCUAUUUACAUUUUCCCAGAUGGAAAAUUUGCACAUUUUACCUGAUUCCACUACUUUGCCUCUGAUUUUGAAGGCUUGCUUAAAGCUUCAUGCCAUUGAAACAGGCAAAAGGAUCCAUUCUAAGUUCAAGAGUAAGAAUUUGAUAAAUGAUGUUCGGGUUCGAUCUUCCUUCGUCGAUUUCUAUGGGAAAUGUGGGUUACUUGAAGAUGCCCGCCAUGUGUUCGAUGAAACGUCUCAAAGAGAUGUUGUGUUGUGGAAUGUGAUGAUUAAUAGCUAUGUAGGAUGUUGUUUUUAUUGGGAAGCAUUGUUGUUGUUUAAGCAGAUGUGGGUUGAGAAUUUGAAGCCUACCUCGGUGACAUUGGUGGCAUUGCUUAUCGCGUGUGGGGAGCUGGUGCAGUUGAGAUUAGGGAAAGAGAUACAUGGGUUUUGUUUGAGGAAUGGUGUUUUUCCUUCAAAUUGCUAUCUUGGGGCUGCUUUAAUUGGAUUUUAUGUGAAAUUCGAUGUGAGGGCUUCUCGUGUUGUGUUUGACUUGAUGCCUAUGAAGAAUGUUGUUAGUUGGAAUAUUAUGAUGAAUGCCUAUAAAGGUGUUGGUGAUCAACUUAUAUCGCUAAAGCUUUUUGUGAAAUUGUUGAUCGAAGGGGUAGUAUGUGAUAAAGUUUCGCUUUUGGCUGCCAUCCAGGCGUGUUCUGAACUUGGUUGUCUGGAUUUGGGCAUGCAACUUCAUCAACUGAUCAUAAAGUUUAGGUAUGCUCAAGACCUACAUAUCAUUAGUGCACUGGUUAAUUUGUAUGUGAAAACUGGUUGUUUAGAAUCUUCAUGUAGGAUAUUUGAAUCUGCUCCUAUUUAUGACAUUGCCAUAUGGAAUUCAAUGAUAUCAGCUUGCUUAGAGUAUGGAAGACAUGAGGAGGCCUGGAAAUUGUUUUCUAGGAUGCAAUUAGAAGGAUUUAGAGUAAAUGAAGCUACAAUGACUAUUCUUUUAACUAUGUGUUUAGAAACGGGUUGUGAAUUGAGAGCCAGUAGGUCCUUACAGGCUAAAUUCAUUAGAAAUGGGCUUUCUAAUAAUACAUCAAUUGUGAAUGCAGUCUUGAGAAUCUACGCAUGUCAUGGCUGUUUUAACGAUGCAAUGAUGCUAUUUGACGAGUUGAUUAGACCAGAUGUAGUGUCCUGGAACAUUAUGAUCUCUGCUCUGGCUGGUAAUGGAUUAAAAAACCAUGCUUGGAACUACUUUGAGAAGAUGUUAGAUUUGGAAAUUAAGCCUAAUAUGCACACGAUUAUUGCUGUUCUUACUGUUUGCAAGGAAGAAUCUUAUCUUAAUCUUGGUCGAUCAAUACAUGGGUAUGUGAUGAAGCAUGGGAUUGAAGUAAAUAUAGAAUUAAGUACUGCACUCAUUGAAAUGUAUGCGAACUGUAUUGAUGAGGUAGCUGCUAGAAAUUUAUUUGAUAGGUGCUCAAACAGAGAUGUUAUAUUGUGGAAUUCUUUGAUUGCUAGUUAUGUGAGAAACAACCUGGCUCAUGAAGCUCUGUCACUUUUCAAGAGAAUGAUCUUAGAAGCAGAACCCAAUUCUAUAACAAUAAUUAAUAUUCUCUCAUCAUGCAUUGACGUAGCUAGUCUUCCUCUAGGUCAAUGCCUACAUGCUUACACAAUUCGUAAAAACUGUUUUGGAGGCUUGAAUUUGUCACUUGCAAAUGCCUUGUUAUCUAUGUAUGCAAGAUGUGGCAGUAUGCAGAAUGCUGAGAAGAUUUUCAAAAGCAUGCAACGGAAGAACAUUAGCUCUUGGAAUGCCUUGGUGGCUGGCUAUGGUUUGAAUGGUCAAGUAACUGAUGCUCUGUGUGUGUACUCGCAGAUGUUAAGCUCUGGGUUCAGACCAAAUGGGAGGACUUUAUUGUCAUUGUUGUCUGCUUGUAGCCAUUCUGGUAUGGUGGAGAAAGGCUUGGAGCUUUUUAAAUCUAUGGUUUAUGAUUUUGGUGUAACCCCGAUACUUGUUCACUAUGGUUGCAUGGUGGAUUUGCUUGGGCGUGCUGGAUAUGUUGAUGAAGCAAGAUUAAUUAUCGAUUCAAUGCCAUUUGAACCAGAUGCCUCUGUCUUGAGGGCUCUUCUUAGUGCUUGUAGAGCCCACUCUAAAUUGACAUUGGCUAAAGUUGUCUUCCAGAGACUUGUGGAAGUAGAACCUACCAAUGCCGGAAACUAUAUUAUGUUUUCAAACAUCUGUGCAGAUGCAGGUCGUUGGUCAGAGGUGAGAGAUUUAAGAAUGCAUCUUAAGGAGAAGGGUCUGAGGAAGAAUCCAGGGAUUAGUUGGAUUUUUUAUCGAGAUCAGGCUCACUGUUUUAUUGCUGGAGAUCAGUUUUGCUUCAAGGCUGCUGAAGUUUAUGCAACAUUGAACUCUUUACUGCUUGCACUCAAGGAUGACGGGUACAUCCCUGAUCUUUGGUGGACUGUACACGAGGAAGAGGAUGAAAGAGCUGCCAGCCAGCCACUUUGUUCCAGGAAUCGAAAUAUGAACUACUAGCAUACUGUUGGAUGGAGAUUAUGGCUACAGCCAGAGGUAGAAAAUUGUCUUUGGACGUCAAGAUUUGUAGAAGUAUUGGCAGCAUAUAUGCGUAACAGCUGAAAAACAGGGGAAAUAGGGUAAAAGGGGGGAGGAUGAAGGAUCCUGAGGAGUCCCUUGGUGCACAUUUUCGAGGUUUGGGGCUUAUUAUGAGCCGGUAAUGUGGCAAAGACCGCAAAGUGAUUGGGAAAGGAAAGGUUGAAUGUGAUGGUGAGUCCUUUUUAACCACAACGCUAAAAAUAUUACACUGCUCAUACUCUCUUUUAAGCAUAUUCUGUGAUUUGUAUAUUAGUAUAGGAGUCUUGUUAGAUUUGUCGCAAUAUGUACUUUCAAAAUAUUUAUGUUUACCUGCCAAAAAAAAAAUUAUGCAUAUGUAAAUAAAGAUAUUAAUG